UUCUUUUUCCACCGGAGCUUGCUCCACCGGAAAAAGAGGAGUGGCGAACGGGUGAGUAACACGUGGGUAACCUGCCCAUCAGAAGGGGAUAACACUUGGAAACAGGUGCUAAUACCGUAUAACAAUCGAAACCGCAUGGUUUUGAUUUGAAAGGCGCUUUCGGGUGUCGCUGAUGGAUGGACCCGCGGUGCAUUAGCUAGUUGGUGAGGUAACGGCUCACCAAGGCCACGAUGCAUAGCCGACCUGAGAGGGUGAUCGGCCACAUUGGGACUGAGACACGGCCCAAACUCCUACGGGAGGCAGCAGUAGGGAAUCUUCGGCAAUGGACGAAAGUCUGACCGAGCAACGCCGCGUGAGUGAAGAAGGUUUUCGGAUCGUAAAACUCUGUUGUUAGAGAAGAACAAGGAUGAGAGUAACUGUUCAUCCCUUGACGGUAUCUAACCAGAAAGCCACGGCUAACUACGUGCCAGCAGCCGCGGUAAUACGUAGGUGGCAAGCGUUGUCCGGAUUUAUUGGGCGUAAAGCGAGCGCAGGCGGUUUCUUAAGUCUGAUGUGAAAGCCCCCGGCUCAACCGGGGAGGGUCAUUGGAAACUGGGAGACUUGAGUGCAGAAGAGGAGAGUGGAAUUCCAUGUGUAGCGGUGAAAUGCGUAGAUAUAUGGAGGAACACCAGUGGCGAAGGCGGCUCUCUGGUCUGUAACUGACGCUGAGGCU
rnacentral:rRNA from 1 species